GCAGCUAAUUGAACAUGUAUAUGAGUUAAUUAAUGUUCAACCUCUUCCAAUAUCAACAGGCAUACUAAGGAUAUUUUUAGUAUCAGAGUAAUGAAGUCAAAUCCGCAUGCAGAAAGAAAGGUGCCGUACGAUGGCUACAGGAAAACGAGAUACAGUUGGCUACUCUGAUAACGGAUCGUCAUGUUUGACUUUUAAGAUACAUUUUGUAUGACCACAUCUUUUUACUGCUGUACUCGGGAAAUUACUACCACAAUACUCUUCUGACGAAAAUGUAUCUCGAAUCGUUAGGACUGCACAUGAUGGUAGAGGAACUUUAAAACACAGUAUUAAAAUCACUGUCGUGAGAAGAGAGCAGGAACAUUAUAAAACAAUCUAAAUUACAAAACAAGUUAUUCCGUAGUCAAUUGUUUUAUUUAAUUAGGGGAUUAAGGAAUCAGUCAGGCAUUAAUGAAUACACACGCCGGCUGUAUAUAACUAAUUAAGGAAUAAACAUUCCGAAUAUGCAUUCAGUCACUGUGACGUCACUGGCGACUGAGGGGAUUAAGAGUGUUUUCGACAAUUGGCAAAGUCGUUUUUACGGGAGGUGGAUAAAGUGGAUAUAGUAACCAUUGGCUACACGUACCAGAAAUUUUACUUGUCCAUCUUAUGUGCACUUUAAGGUUAUGGGGAGUAUUGUAAUUGGUAAUUGAUUAUGGUAAUUGAGAACUUUUAUAUUACUGGAUCCAAAAAGUAGAAUAUUAUACCUCUACUUCUAAAUGUCAUUCGAGGAACUUAGUUUCUUUUUGAUUAAAAAAAGUAGUUCCUUUCUAAUUGACCAAUCAAAUGUAAAGUGAUAUCUCCUUAGGAGAUUAUGAAAUUUAUCACACAAUCAAUAUCUACUGUAGAAUGUGUUAUUGGGUGAUAAAGUCCUGUUGACCCCAUUUAAGUGUAAUCUACUAUGUAAUUCUUACACUGUUUGUACUUCUUAUUCUAUUUAUUUACCUGUUUAUAAACAAAUUCCAAAAAUA